CGCUGGCGGCGUGCCUAAUACAUGCAAGUCGAGCGAACGGACGAGAAGCUUGCUUCUCUGAUGUUAGCGGCGGACGGGUGAGUAACACGUGGAUAACCUACCUAUAAGACUGGGAUAACUUCGGGAAACCGGAGCUAAUACCGGAUAAUAUUUUGAACCGCAUGGUUCAAAAGUGAAAGACGGUCUUGCUGUCACUUAUAGAUGGAUCCGCGCUGCAUUAGCUAGUUGGUAAGGUAACGGCUUACCAAGGCAACGAUGCAUAGCCGACCUGAGAGGGUGAUCGGCCACACUGGAACUGAGACACGGUCCAGACUCCUACGGGGGGCAGCAGUAGGGAAUCUUCCGCAAUGGGCGAAAGCCUGACGGAGCAACGCCGCGUGAGUGAUGAAGGUCUUCGGAUCGUAAAACUCUGUUAUUAGGGAAGAACAUAUGUGUAAGUAACUGUGCACAUCUUGACGGUACCUAAUCAGAAAGCCACGGCUAACUACGUGCCAGCAGCCGCGGUAAUACGUAGGUGGCAAGCGUUAUCCGGAAUUAUUGGGCGUAAAGCGCGCGUAGGCGGUUUUUUAAGUCUGAUGUGAAAGCCCACGGCUCAACCGUGGAGGGUCAUUGGAAACUGGAAAACUUGAGUGCAGAAGAGGAAAGUGGAAUUCCAUGUGUAGCGGUGAAAUGCGCAGAGAUAUGGAGGAACACCAGUGGCGAAGGCGACUUUCUGGUCUGUAACUGACGCUGAUGUGCGAAAGCGUGGGGAUCAAACAGGAUUAGAUACCCUGGUAGUCC
rnacentral:rRNA from 1 species